AACGAACGCUGGCGGCAUGCCUAACACAUGCAAGUCGAACGAGACCUUCGGGUCUAGUGGCGCACGGGUGCGUAACGCGUGGGAACCUGCCCUUAGGUUCGGAAUAACUCCCCGAAAGGGGUGCUAAUACCGGAUAAUGUCUUCGGACCAAAGAUUUAUCGCCUUGGGAUGGGCCCGCGUUGGAUUAGCCAGUUGGUAGGGUAAAAGCCUACCAAGGCGACGAUCCAUAGCUGGUCUGAGAGGAUGAUCAGCCACACUGGGACUGAGACCCGGCCCAGACUCCUACGGGAGGCAGCAGUGGGGAAUAUUGGACAAUGGGCGAAAGCCUGAUCCAGCAAUGCCGCGUGAGUGAUGAAGGCCUUAGGGUUGUAAAGCUCUUUUACCCGGGAUGAUAAUGACAGUACCGGGAGAAUAAGCUCCGGCUAACUCCGUG
rnacentral:rRNA from 1 species